rnacentral:rRNA from 1 species
ACAACUUUCAACAACGGAUCUCUUGGCUCUCGCAUCGAUGAAGAACGCAGCGAAAUGCGAUAAGUAAUGUGAAUUGCAGAAUUCAGUGAAUCAUCGAAUCUUUGAACGCACCUUGCGCUCCUUGGUAUUCCCAGGAGCAUGCCUGUUUGAGUGUCAUU